UACGUAGGGUGCAAGCGUUAAUCGGAAUUACUGGGCGUAAAGCGUGCGCAGGCGGUUCUAUAAGACAGAUGUGAAAUCCCCGGGCUCAACCUGGGAACUGCAUUUGUGACUGUAGAGCUGGAGUACGGCAGAGGGGGAUGGAAUUCCGCGUGUAGCAGUGAAAUGCGUAGAUAUGCGGAGGAACACCGAUGGCGGAGGCAAUCCCCUGGGCCUGUACUGACGCUCAUGCACGAAAGCGUGGGGAGCAAACGGG
rnacentral:rRNA from 1 species